AUUCAAUGGCGCUAAACUUUGUAUAAAAGUUGCUACUGCAAUGUUCGUCUGCGUUUUCGGCACGUGUCCGUAAACUUGAAGGAGAUCGAAGAUUAUGUAUGGACUCCAACAAAGGAUGAAUACUGCAAUAAUUAGAAAGAUGAUGGGAAUGCUGAAAAGUGCUGAGAGACUCCAAGCAACCACCACCAAUACUCGAGCUCUCCACCCUGCAUAAAAUUCUUCACCUUACAAGUAUUUACGAACUGGUAUUAUCACCGAUAAUAUCUUUCUUACAAAGAAUACCAAGAUAAUAUUUCGACGUCUUAGGAAGGAUCGUCAUUCAACGAUUUUCAACAUUGGAUUUUUUUUCUAAUUAAAUGCUAACGCUUAUGUAUGCACAACGUUACUGAAAAAGAAGAAUUUUAUCGAAUAGGAGAUAGUAAACAAGCAAAUUGCUUUAGUUGAAGUUAACUUUGUUACCAUUCUAAUUGACUCUGAUAACAGUGAGUUUCAUCUACAAUUAUUUUCCAACAAUCAUCACGUUAUCUCUUCGUUAUUUUUCCGCCAUGUUAAUUAAGUGAUAAGGUUAACGAGAGAAAAACGAUUAAAAGCGAUGGAAACCUUUCUCACUCACUAAACAUGCGUUGCUUUUUCUUUUUCUUCUACCUCUGUGUCUGCCUCUUCAUCCAGCUCACCACUCUUUGGUGACUUUUCUCUCGAGAAUAACGUGAAAUGUGUGUACGCGUUUGCUACCUCGGCUUUUUCGAAUACAACUUGAAAAUGUACAGAAAGAGAGAGAGAGAGAGAGAGAGAGAGAGAGGAAACAAGAGGCAUCUUUGAGUUUCUUCUACUUAUUCGAAAUCACGUUCAUCAAACAUUCCCGGCUGAAUCCCUCUCUCAUGAUUUUUUCUUGUCAGAAAUAUUUAUUUUCUAUGCGGCAUUAUGAUUUCUCCUGGUUUACGGAAGGAUACUAUGAGGAAACGAUUUCAAGAAUAUCGUCGAGCAGUGCGACUCUCAAAGAAGCCAACUUUACCCUCAUGAUUUUCUCAUAUUUUGUCUUCCAAAUAAAAAUAUGAUUGGAAUUCGCGUAUCUCGAUAGGAGUUAUCGCAAAAUUAAUGUGCACGUAAAAAUGAUGACCGAAACAAGUGGUAACCUGCGAACGCCAGUUGCUUGAUGAAGAAGUCCAUCCGAGAUUUUCGACGUUUUCCAAGCAAAAGACCAGCAAGAACUGCAGUGUUACCAGCAACGAUCACAACGAAUAAUAACCACAAAACUGUGAAUUGUUCGGUCUGAAAAAAAGAAAAAUCAUUUUAUACAAACAUGAUUUUCAUCAAAGUUUUAAGAUGUACAAGGAAUAUUUUCAACGUUUGAUAACGAGCCUACGAGUACAUGUGAAUCGCAUUUCGUGGAAAGAACAUUUAAAAUGAAACGUAUAUGAGAAUUGAUGAUGAUAGUGGGGGUGAGGAUAAUCUAGCGAUCUUCUCCAGUCUACGUCAUCGUCGAAGGCAUCGUGUGAAGGGCGAAGGUGAAGAAGGGGAUCGAAAGGGAUCGUAAAACAUCCUAUUUACGUCCUCGAACGCAGAUUACACCCCUCGGGAGUACAGGACUAGCCCGUAGCAACGAUAUUUUCUUCCAAACGUUGAAUUAUCUAGCCAUCGUACGACAAAAUAUCGUCGAAUCAUCGAAUCUCCGCCCGAAUGUAAUACUCUCCUGGCUAACAUUAAUCUUCUUCUCCUUCUUCCUCCCUCUUUUAAUCUUUUUUUCUUUUUAUACAUAGACCGGCCUAUUUCCUUGUGAAAUCAUAGAAAUAGAACUGGUCUUUCUCUAUGCUUUUAUAGAGCAAACAGUAUCGUAUAUAGUCGAUUACUAUUGAUGAAUUAUAUUAUGUGGUCAAUAAAGUAUCAGAAUGAUAAAAUCUUUAAAGAGAAUAUUCGAAGGAGUAAAUAGGAUUGACGGAGCGAAGAAAGAGUAGAAAGAGAGAGAAUGUCAGAGAGAACGUGACAAAGUAGCGAAGCGAAUUGCAUCGAUUAUUUAUGCUCGUCAACUUAGAUUCCAAAGGAGGAAACGUUGAAAGCGACCAAAGAUGUAAAACGUCGUAUUGCCAUGUUUCAAGAGCUUCUUGAAAUUUCAAGCAACUAGAAACUCAAUCUUAAUACGACAGGAUUCUUGCUAGAGCGAGCAUAGAAACUGAAGAUAGGAAGUUUACAAUGGGGAAACAAACGAGAUCGUGAAGUUAAUAAGUAAUAAAUUAAAAUUUCAAUAAAAAUUAAAUUUAAAUUGUGAUACUAUUUCGGCGAAUCAGAUUCGACAAUGCAUUAGAAGGCAUUUAUUGUUGAAAAGUACUCUAGAAGGUGUACGCGCUCGGAUUAAUACUUUCCUGUAAAUUACAUUUCCUUUCAUUCAUCCUGGAACGUAGAAUAGAAAAGAA